rnacentral:rRNA from 1 species
CGGACGGGUGAGUAAUGCCUAGGAAUCUGCCUGGUAGUGGGGGACAACGUUUCGAAAGGAACGCUAAUGCCGCAUACGUCCUACGGGAGAAAGCAGGGGACCUUCGGGCCUUGCGCUAUCAGAUGAGCCUAGGUCGGAUUAGCUAGUUGGUGAGGUAAUGGCUCACCAAGCGACGAUCCGUAACUGGUCUGAGAGGAUGAUCAGUCACACUGGAACUGAGACACGGUCCAGACUCCUACGGGAGGCAGCAGCC